AUACCUACGGGACGCAGCAGUGAGGAAUAUUGGUCAAUGGACGAAAGUCUGAACCAGCCAUGCCGCGUGCAGGAAGACGGCUCUAUGAGUUGGAAACUGCUUUUGUACAAGGGUAAACCUGAAUACGUGUAUUCAGCUGAAAGUAUUGUACGAAUAAGGAUCGGCUAACUCCGUGCCAGCAGCCGCGGUAAUACGGAGGAUCCAAGCGUUAUCCGGACUUAUUGGGUUUAAAGGGUGCGUAGGCGGAUUGAUAAGUUAGAGGUGAAAUGUCCGGGCUCAACUCGGGAACUGCCUCUAAUACUGUU
rnacentral:rRNA from 1 species